rnacentral:misc_RNA from 1 species
GUUUGGAAAUUUAUGCAGGGGACUUUGCAAAUGAUGCUUUACUUAGCUACAAUUACAGCUAUGAUCCAGUAGCCGAAUCUCUCUCCUAUGUUGACAAUGGUGUUUUUUCCGUUGAUGGCAUUGUGUCAGACUUCCCUAUAACUCCAUCAGAGGCCAUAGGUUGCUUCUCUCACGUGCGGAAAAACAACACUGACCAUGGAAAGCCUUUAAUUAUCUCACACAAUGGGGCUAGUGGAAUCUACCCUGAUUGCACUGACCUGGCUUAUCAGCAAGCUGUUCAAGAUGGUGCAGACUUUAUUGAUUGUCCGGUUCAAGUAACAAAAGAUAAUGUUCUCGUAUGCAUGAGUGACAUAAACCUCAUGAUUGAUACCACAGUUACAAAAUCUUCCUUCGCUUCUCUGAUUUCAACUAUCCCAGAGAU